rnacentral:rRNA from 1 species
CCUACGGGAUGCAGCAGUGAGGAAUAUUGGUCAAUGGACGAGAGUCUGAACCAGCCAAGUAGCGUGAAGGAUGACUGCCCUAUGGGUUGUAAACUUCUUUUAUAUGGGAAUAAAAUGUUCCACGUGUGGGAUUUUGUAUGUACCAUAUGAAUAAGGAUCGGCUAACUCCGUGCCAGCAGCCGCGGUAAUCCGGAGGAUCCGAGCGUUGUCCGGAUUUAUUGGGGUUAAGGGGAGCGUAGGUGGAUUGUUAAGUCAGUUGUGAAAGUUUGCGGCUCAACCGUAAAAUUGCAGUUGAAACUGGCAGUCUGGAGUACAGUAGAGGUGGGCGGAAUUCGUGGUGUAGCGGUGAAAUGCUUAGAUAUCACGAAGAACUCCGAUUGCGAAGGCAGCUCACUGGACUGCAACUGACACUGAGGCUCGAAAGUGUGGGUAUCAAACAGGAUUAGAUACCCUUGUAGUC